rnacentral:lncRNA from 1 species
CACUGUUUAAUUGUAAUAGGGGGCCAAGUGAGUAGAUGUGCAAACCCCUUAGGUCUUAGGUGAUCACGAGUGCUAAGAAGAGAGUGUCAUCAUGAGCCUACGUCAGGUGUGGCUGGCAAGCAAUCGAUGUGCUCUAUCAUGGGACCUGGGAAACAGAGUAGUAACUGAUGGAAAGUCUUCUCAUCAAGAUCUUCCAAAAGAAUCCUCACCUCAGAAUUUCAUCUGAAGUCCUCUUUGUGUCGUCCUCCAAGGGAACUUAAUCUCGGCUCUGCGUCCAGGGAGGGCUUUAUCCGUACGUCACCUUUAUCUGCACAUAGCUUCCAUUGAGUGACUUUGUUGCAUCAUUCAAAAAAUUUGUACGCUUCCCUCCCUUCUGUAUAACUAUGUGGCUUCGUGAGAGAACCUUCUUUUGGUCAUUCUUUUAUUCCAUUGUGUUUGAUUUGGCAGCCCGGGAACUGCACUAACACACGAUCUUUCCCACAGCAGGUGCUCCGUGAAAGCACGUUAAGCGUCCGUGAUAAAUUAACAGAAGCAGGAAAGAUGCCAAUCGUUCGAAGAUGCUUCUGUUGUACCGUGUGUGCUUCCCCUGCAAGAGUGGUUUCUCACAUUUUUCUCGUCUGCCGUAGCUGCUUGUGUCUUUUGGAGCCGAGUAAGCCGGAUUGUGAUGGUUGGAGAGUGGCUUCCCUAACAGACGAAAUUAAGAGAGCUACCGGGACUCCCCGCACUCGAACCAUUACGAUUCGAACCAAGAUAUCUGCACGAGUGGAUCAGACUCCGUUGCACCCAAGCCAACCCUCCAUUCUUUGGAUAUAAUUCUCCACACGUUUCCAUAAUGCAAACAAACAAUUGAGAAAUACGUACAUGCACACGUACAAUGCCGGGGUCCCAGCCAGCCUCUGCUAUUCCAGAGAAUUCCAGAGAAGGGGAAGACAGUGAUCCCGGAGGAAGCAGAGUUGUGUGUUUGAAUGCCAUGGUGUUUGACAUAUCAGGGGUUGCGUGGUUGUGGAGAGUCUUAACAAACAGGCAUAAAUAAAGCCCAUGAGGAUCUGUGAGGUCA